rnacentral:lncRNA from 10 species
GGCUUAAGCUGAAUUGACAGUCAGAGGAAGAACUAGCAGAGAGCUCUGAAUCAGAUUUCAGUGGUUCCACCUCAAAUGGGAGUUUCUCAUUGGUCUGGCAAGAGCUGUGGCUGGAUUUAAAGUGAAACUGAGCCAUGGACCCUGGGGGACAGCACAGGAUAUUACAAAUGACAGCUGCUUGUCUCAAUAGCAACAUCUGGUCAAGAGGCCUGAUCCAUGACCCUUGGUGUGUGAAGCAUGGGGAUGUAUUGACAUCUGGGUUUGAGUAUCUGAGGAAAGCUGUUUUAGAGCAGAGCAGAGACUCAAAGCAUUGGUUCUCAUUCAUUACUAGUCUUCUGAUUUUGAAUCAGGCACAUGGCUUCUCUAAGCCUCAGUUUGCUAAUCUGUAAACAGGAGAGUAAUAGUACUUGCCUCUCAGGUUCUUUUUUUUCUUUUGUCAAAAGCAUUUUAUAAGCUACAAAGGGGUCUAGAAAUGUAGUUUAUUACAAUCGUUGUUACUUACAGGUCUGAAUUUCCUGCAGGAAAAGGGGAUAGAAAAGUAUAAGAAAUAAUGGUAGCUUUGCACAGUGGCAGUAUGGUAGCCCAUGAGGUUUAUCCGAGGCCCGAUUAUGGCUAGUUGAAAAUGUUUCCCAAUACCCUGCCAUGAUGAUUUAAAAUAUAGUCGGCAUGGGCAAUUUUUGCAGUCUGUAUUGAAACUGAACUGAAAAAAAAACAACAACAAAAAACGAAGGCAAUAAGGAAAUAAGGGGAGGAACUGAAGAACAGAAAAAGGAGCAGAGAUAACAUCCUUUAAAUUAAUUUUUAAAGUGUUUUUAGGCACCUGGAGCUGUGCUAAGAGCUAUAAAAAUAAGGUUCAGAGAUGUCACUGUAGAUUCAAGGCCUUUGCACGAAAUGGUGCAAAGCUGAUAAGGAAUGGGGUAGAGAUGGGAUUUGGGGAGGACAGGAGUAACAUUAAUGGAGCAUCUACGACGUCCAAGGCAUUGCUGAGGAUGCCAUUAUCUCAAGUAAGGCUUUGCAUAGAGUAUGCACCAGCCUCAUUUUAGGGAGGAGGAAACCAAGACUCAGAGACAUUGAGCAACUUGCUCAAGGUCACAUGGCUAGUAAGUGAUAGAGAUGGGACUUGUCUGCCUCUAAAGCACAUCCUCAUAUGCAGACAAAUGAGUCAAUAAAGAAAAGUAUAAAUUGGGUAAUUCAUAGGACAUGUUAUUAAAAAGGUGAAGGCUGAGAGAGAAAAAGAAAGCCCUGGCAGCUUGGUGACUGACUUCAGUCCUGUUGGCCUGGGACUUUCCCCAUUUUAGAGUGAAAAGUCCUGUAUCCUGGGAAGCCUCUCAGUCCCCGACAAUCUGGGAUGGUUGGUCACCCUACAGCUGAUAGCUAAUUGCUGGCUUAUUUGCUACCAGUUGGGUCAUGCUGUUGCCUUGGUGAACACAGGCAGAAUGUUGAUAUCAGAUGAGAACUUUCAAGGAUGUGAUGGAACAAGACAAAAACAAGACAACUCUGUAAUUAUGCCUGAACAGAGAUAAAAACAGACACUGUAUAACUGCAAAAAUGACCAAAUACCCCCCUCUCCUGGCUAAUGGGAGUGACUACUGCUUCUUCUUCGAUCAUAACUCUAUCCCUACCUCU